ensembl:lncRNA
CAGAGUUGUCGUGGCACCACGACCUAGACACCUGGCACGUUCUGAGCGCCCUCCAACCCGGGCACCCCGGAUCAGCUGACUCACCAUGGGAAACUAUAUAUGUGGUACACUGAGUGCACACAUUGUGACAGCUCUCUCUCCCAUUUCUGUUGGGUGACCAAUUCAAUUUACACUCAUCUCUGUUGUUAAAGAAGAAGAAAAAUAAAGAUGGAGAUGACAGUGAUGAUCAGAGCAGCCCAGACACAGAAAAGAAGGAAGAGGAUGUGACAUACGCCACCAUUGACCAUAGCAACACCAAGACAACAGGUGUCAUAAUAGAUUCUCACACUAACGACUGUGACUACGCCAUUGUUAAACCUCCAACUUGCCUCGCCCACCAGUCGUUAAUUAAAGAAGACUGUGCAGAUGACUAUGUCUUCAUGGGCUGACCUCAUGUACAAUGUGUGUGUGUGUGUGGGGGGGGACAUUUUGAAGGGGGACAAUGGAGAUGCAAGGUGGACAUAGGCCUGGGGCAAGCUGGACAGCACCUUCCUGGACCAAAAUACCCUAGAUGUGACUAUGAUAGCGCCCACAAAUGGAACUUUUCUUGAUGCAGUGUGGUUGCAGGAAUUAUGUGCUUCUAUAGUUAUGUUUAAUUAUGUUUUACAGUCACAUUAUGCUUAUGUUAAUGUUUACAUUUUUUUCCCUAAGAGAAACGGAUGCUUUAGUUCAAACUUUCUAUGUGGUUUAUUUGGCCUCUUGACAGAGGGAACAUACAGGCCAGAGAUUCAAAGGCUAUAGCUAUCAUACUGACCCCUGAGAUACAACUACCAACCACACCACACACACACCCUGGGAGAGAUGAGAUGUUUAUGGUUUGCGAUAGAAUUAUGUGUUUGAAUUUUAUGCAAAAUAUUUUCUUUGCACAAAUCUAUUUGAAUGAGAUACAGUAAGGUGAGAGCGGGAUUGGAGAUACUGUUGUUUUGUGAACCGGUCUUAGCUGUUUCUCAAAAUCACCAGGAACUGUUGUAUCCUAUCAAUGAUGGAUGCAAAGAUGGAUUAAAUCAACAUCGUUAGAACUUUUGUAUCCUUACAUUUAUAACAUCAAUGGCAACAAUCAACGGCAGACAAUUUUCUGCAACUUCAAGAUUGAAUCAAUUAAUAUUUUGGGGCUUCUUUAAUACUAAAGAGAAGAAGACAAAGAGUAACUGUCAAAGACGUAAAUAGCCAAUAAUGUGGAUCCUUAGCAGGUAAAAAAUAGAACCUCUGUCAAAAUAGAUCAAUUUAGCUCCCUAUUUAGUCAGCAUUAAUCACAAAUCACAUAAUAGCCUACAGCUUAAGUAUGUUAACCAAAACAUGUUUCAAUUCAAGGUCCAUGCUCAUCAAAAUGGAUCAUAUGGACUGAUAAUCAGCAGGUGAUUGUUUCAAAUCCUAGGUGAGCCACACUAUAGAUUCAACCUAUAUGUUGCUUUGUCACUCUAUAUCACUAAGCCUACUUAUACUGGACUUCCUUUACUAGUCUCCUACACUACUCCCUUGAUCUGUCAUAACUGGGUUUCUAACAUCACAAAAUUUGUGAAAGCAAGAUGGAGGAAAAUCCACCAUGAGUUUUCACAUUACUGUAUUCCCCUGUCCUUCUUCUUUGAGAUUUGUGGUUAGGAAAGAGGUGAACUCAUAGAAAAUGUCUUUGUGGAAAGGAAAUCUAAGCUGCAGUCCAAGCACGUAAUUUUUAACCCCUCAGCCCUUGCGCUAGCUACUUUCGCUUUGGGGAAUCUGGAUGCAGUUUGAUUGCCAUCUUAAGUGGAGGUCCAAUUCACUAACGUUGCCCCCUCGAACCCUCGAUUUAGCUUGAGGUAGCGAGUGAACAACUUUGAUCGCUUGUGGGGUUGCCAUGACCUACAUUUUAAUGAUAACUGUAGUCACAUGUUGUUAUGUUGUGUUGAUACCAUGCUGUGUUGUCAUGUGUUGCUGCCUUGCUAUGUUGUUGUCUUAGAUCUCUCUUUAUG